GAUUUCUGGCUUGGUGCGCGCCGUCCGCUGCGGUUACGUAGUGUGUGCGGUUGUGCGCCUGCCAUCUUUCUAGACAUCAUGCUGCGCCCUUCACUGGGUGGCAGGUGGUGGCUGGAUCUUUUACUUUGAAAAAAUUAGAGUGUUCAAAGCAGGCUUGCGCUAUGAAUACAUUAGCAUGGAAUAAUAAUUUAGGACUUCUGUUCUAUUUUGUUGGUUUCUAGGAUGGAAGUAAUGAUUGAUAGGGAUAGUUGGGGGUGCUAGUAUUCAGCGGCCAGAGGUGAAAUUCUCGGAUUCGCUGAAGACUAACUUAUGCGAAAGCAUU
rnacentral:rRNA from 2 species